rnacentral:ncRNA from 1 species
UUAAAAACAGUGAUAGGGAUAAGUAAACAAAUGCAAAUGCUUUAAAGAGAGUGGGGGAAAGGUGAAAGCCCAUAAGCUAUGGUUGUUGAAAUUCACCCUUGAGUUGCAGGCUGAAAUCUAAAGAGAUUAAGCCCAGCCGGUUAAAUGCCGUUAUAUAAUGAGUUAUAAAUUUGGAUGGUACCGCGAACAGACUAUUCGCUCCAGCG